UCAUUAUUAGGCAGCUUCAUUAUUGAAAGUGAUUGAAUUGGAAUCCAAUAAGAUCUUGGAAAAAAAAUAUAAACUUCAUUAUUAGACAGAAAACCAAGAUAGAAAAAGCUCCCAACUUUUUUCUUUCUCUAUAAUUAAAAGGACUUUUAGGACAUAUUUUGGAACCAAGAAAAAGAAAAGAAAGACAGGCAUGAAGUUCUUGUUUCAGUGUCCUUGCUGUUCUUGUUUCUGCUUCAUGAAGCCUAAGAAAGGGAAACCAAAGAUGAAGGAUGAUAAGGCUGAGACAAAAAAGGAAGUGAAGGCUGAAAAAGAGAAGGAAGCGAAGGCUGAGUGAAAAUGAUGAUUUACUUACAAUAUAUUCUUCACUGCUGCUCAAGUAAAUUGUAUGUAACUUUUGUUUGAAUGAAAAAUGCUGCCUUGUCUUGGUUAUUGUAGUAUUAUUUGCUUGUACUGAUAAUAAACUUGACAUUUCGAUUAUGUUUUGUCUUUGUAUUUUGAUGUCAUUUAUGUUCUGCAAAUGUUGCUUGAUGGUAUAGAUAUCGACGGCUCUGGUUUGUUCUGAUUUUAUGAGAUGUACUUGAAAGAACAGCCAGAUCUGCUUGUAUAUCUACAUUUACUGAGGAAUUUGAUGAUAAAAUUCAUGGGGGGCUUACAUUAAUCUCCAAGUUUCAGUUUUCAUGUUCUACCUUUAACGUUUUAGCAUCGUAAUGUGGGAUUUUGAUUGGUAUUUUCCGUAACGUAGGAUCGAAUUCAUUUACUAAGGAAUUUCUAUCCAGCGGCAUUGAAGAAUUCAAACAUUCAUUAGGUUUUUAAUCUCUUUCUCCUGAAUUGUUGGAGCUCAAUUCCUUUAUUUCUAAGCUGGAGUUGUGUAUGUUUUUAAGACAGUUUAGAGCAAUGGCUGAACUCAUUAGCAUACAUUCCUUGUCGGUAAAUGUCAAUAUUCCCCCAAAGUUCAGCUUUUUUUUUUCAAUUGAAAAACCUACAAGAAACUUUAAAAAAAAAUCAUAGAAAACAACAGCAGUAAUAAGUCAUCAUAAGAAUUGUAACCCAAAAAUGACGAGAAAAAGAAAAAGAAAAAACAAAAGCAUGUGAAGAGGUGAACAAAGAUUAUGUAAGAAGAUUGUCAGUCUGACCCACACGACCUAACGUUAAUGCUUUCUUGAUUUAUAGCCAUCAUUUCAUGGGCAAAAUUAGGACCUCAAUGAAAACUUCAUCAAUAUAUCAGUUUGUAGUCUUGAUCAAUUAGGGGGAUAAAAAACAAGGGACUAAUGGACUAAUUAUAAACUUCUCUAGGAGUUUAUCUUUGUUGCUAAUGACUCUGAAGAAUCUUAAUGGGUUAAUAACAAUUAAAGAUUAAGUUGAAUUCUUUUGUGCAAGAAUUCAUUUCCAGUCAUUUAAAUAAAGAUUAUGAUUUGUUGGACUAAUUUAACAAGUUUUCCUUUUAGAAGUGUUUUUUUAAAGAAAGUUUCCUAAUUUGAACAGCUAUUGCAAUAGAAAGAUAAAUAAUAAUCUGGGUUGUAAUAAGAUCAAGAGUUUUCAAUGAAGUCAACAAAUCAUCCAGCUAUCCAGAGAGAUGAUAGUGCAACAGAGCC
rnacentral:lncRNA from 1 species